rnacentral:rRNA from 1 species
AACGAACGCUGGCGGCAUGCCUAACACAUGCAAGUCGAACGAAACCUUCGGGCCUAGUGGCGCACGGGUGCGUAACGCGUGGGAACCUGCCCUUAGGUUCGGAAUAACUCCCCGAAAGGGGUGCUAAUACCGGAUAAUGUCUUCGGACCAAAGAUUUAUCGCCUUUGGAUGGGCCCGCGUUGGAUUAGCUAGUUGGUAGGGUAAAAGCCUACCAAGGCGACGAUCCAGAGCUGGUCUGAGAGGAUGAUCAGCCACACUGGGACUGAGACACGGCCCAGACUCCGACGGGAGGCAGCAGUGGGGAAUAUUGGACGAUGGGCGAAAGCCUGAUCCAGCAAUGCCGCGUGAGUGAUGAAGGCCUUAGGGUUGUAAAGCUCUUUUACCCGGGAUGAUAAGGACGGUACCGGGAGAAUAAGCUCCGGCUACCUCCGG